CCAGUUCAUGUUCUGUUGGGACUCGAACCCGGAGUCGUCAAUGUACGUUAGCUGUGAACCAAGGAUCCCUCGACACAUCGUUGUGCAGCCGUUUCCUUGGCGGGGACGCGGUGAUGAUUGGAGCGUGUACUGGAACCAGUUGUCCGACACCAAGGUGGGGCGUAUGGUCUCGAUAUACUGCUUGUAGCGUCACCCGGUGUGGGAGUGUGGGUACAAGAACAAGGUCCAGGGUUUGCAGAGUGGGGAAUGCACAGGUUUCAUCGAAUCGAUGUAGCGGACGAGACACUCAAAGCGUCGGUUGUGUGGCCCGCUGUCGGGGCUAGCCACAAUAAUUAUGAAAAAUCAUGGGAUCACGUGGUCAUUUGUAAUUACGUCACGUGUAAAUAUUCUGGUGAUGUCAUCGCUGUAAGUAGUUUGUAAUGUAAUAAUAAAAUACAUGUCACAAUCACAUCAUGUAUAAAUUUAUGACGUACCAAUAAAGUUUCUAAUUAUUCCUUACGGAAGUGACGCCAUACACGUAACCAACGCGAGACGCAUUUUCGCAAUCUUUUCACGAUUUCAUGACGUCACAAACGUUAUAUAUAAACCGCGACACGCAUUGUUUGGUUGAUUCUUCGAUCAGAAUGUUGCGUGCGAUCAUCUGUGUCUUGUUGCUUGGCAACGUUGCUCAAGGUUGCCACUGGUUUCACCAUCACCGCGGCAAGCGCUCUACCACGGCGCAAGACACGAUACAUCUGAGGCAUUAUUUCGCCAAUUGUUUGUCAUCAAAGUUAAGUGGUUUCGACUUCGCGUCACUUGUUGAUUAUACGGUUCUUAGUUCUGCAUGGUACGCCAACAAUCAACUAGCUAUAUGCAGCGAUUCAGGCGACACGGCGCAGUGUUGGGCUAACAAGCUCGAUCAGUUCAUCGACAGAAAGAAUAUUUUAAGCGGGCCGGUGCGAGGUUGUAUCGAGGAGUACGCUGAGGAUGUUGGAACAGGGAUUUUUCGACAUUCUACAACAGCUGGUAGAAAGAAGCGACAAGCGGCCACUGGGGGCGCUCCAGAUACGUACACGUCAUGCAUAGCCACUUCAAGUACCUUGGAAAGUGAGGGCAGCAACAUAGAUAUCACAGAAGUUGCAAAUUUUAUCGAGAACUUUACUGUGAUUGGAUGCCAAGGAUGCGGUUGUGGUAGCAACGGUAAUGGAUACAAUAUAUCGUGGACAUCAAAGUUUGCAGCACUUACCAAAGCCGAUUCACCACUUCGUGACGUCAUACGUGAUUGCAACCAAGUGUACCACCCACCAGAACCAUUCUGGUCUCCAUGGAGCGCGUGGUCAGGUUGCCCGCCAAGUUGUCGGCGGGGCUCGCAGGCGAGGGCAAGAACGUGUAGAAACGCGUCUUCCCCUAUAUUAGAACUCUCCGCAUCCAUGUGUGGAGGCAGGAACAAUCAAAGCAGGAGAUGUCAACAAUCAAGUUGCGCCUCGUGGUCGUCAUGGGGUCAAUGGUCGCCCUGUAGCGCCUCGUGUGGUUCGGUCGGUGUAAGGCAACGAACGCGGGUUUGCAACAACUCGAAUUAUUACAACCAAUGCGAAGGAAGGGCAGCUACUAAUACGAGUUGUUUCAAUCCAACUUGUGUGGGACCGUGCGGGUUUAAUGCCACCGCCACAAACGCAAUGCAAAUCAUAAGCUCGCCGAACCACCCGCGUAACUAUGGCAACAAUGUUCGUUGUGCUUGGAUCCUUAGCGCUCCCAGUGGUUACCAAGUUCGUCUUAUUAUUUCUGAAGGAGGGGUGACGGAGAACCGUUAUGAUUGGAUAGAGGUAUUCGAUGGCGUACGUAGCAUAGCAAGGAUCGGUGGUGUUAUAAGCACACCACGAGAACUUAAUUCAACAACAGGAUCUUUGAAGAUUACCUUUACAACCGACCACAGUGUUACACGCAAAGGGUUUAACGCAACGUUUGUAAGAUUCAAUCCAUUGGCAGCAACAGUUUUACCACGUGGCUGCGCUAGAGAGCUUGUAGCAACUCCUUCUCUGCAAAACUUUUCCUCCCCGAAUUACCCGAACGCGUACAGCAACAAUUUAAAUUGUGUAUGGACCAUCCGCCCCCCGUCCGGCCAACGCGUUGUCGUUAAGAUUGUCGCACAAACUGAACAAUGCUGUGAUUACGUUGAGGUGGCGAGAGAAGGAGAGACAUCAAGUACCAGAUUAAUGGGAAACGUGAGUGAAGCAAGACAGUUCACAUCAAGAGCUAUCAGAGUCCGAUUCUACACUGAUGGAUCCAUAACCAACGUUGGAUUCUACGCGACUUAUAAAAUAUAUUAUAUUGAUGACGUCGUCGAUGACGUACAAAGGAUUGACAAUGCUAUCUGUUCCAGCACAAUGUGGUUUCGAAGCCACGGCGACGAACACCUUACAAACAAUCGAAUCGCCAAACUACCCUAGAAAUUACUUGAAUAAUAUUAAUUGUGGUUGGGUGGUCAUAGCUCCAACAGGACGCCAGGUGAUUGUGACGGUGAUGGGUGGGUUCUUGGAAAUUAAUUACGAUUAUUUACGGAUAUACGAUGCCUCGACCCUGUUGACUCAAUUAUCCGGUCGACUUACCCGCAGUUCAUUCACAUCAACUAGCGGGAAACUUCGCAUGAACUUUCAAACCGACGGAUCCGUUGUUAAAACGGGAUUUCGUUUAACCUACGUCACACAAUCCUCAAGCUCAGCCCCUGUCCCGUCAUAAACAGUUGAUGACGCCAUAAAGCCAUAAUAUUGAUGACGUCAACCCACAAUUGAAAGUACAUUGUUACAUAACACACGCGUCAACAAUACGUUCAUUGUGUUUAUUGUUACGUCAUACCAUUGAACAAUAUUAAUCGAACGUACACGAAGAAUCGCCGAUGUUACAUUUAUUGUUUGCACAACAACACCGACACACGGUACUCCUUCCACCACCUCUACAAUCGUGGGUGUUCUGUGUAACAACCACAAUUAUAAAACGGCAAUACACCAACUACCAUCCAAACCUGCACUUGAUCGUUAAAGCAGGCGUCACGUUGUUUACAAUAUUUAGAAAUCGUUUGAACACCAGUUUCUGACGUUCGAAUCUCCACCGCACAUUGUCCCUAAAUAAAAUCCACUUGACUUCAA